AGGAAGAUGGCCGAAGGGUUCCAUAGGGAAGACUUCCAAAAGGACUCGUUUCUUGAAGUGAGUCUUGAAAACUGACUGUAAGUUUUAUAAAUAAGAAAGCAAUCAGAGCAACAGUUGGAGCAAAAAGAAGUGAAAGCAUGGAACUUUCUGGCAGCUUGUGGUCUUGUGCACCCAGAACAUGGGCAAAUGAGGGGGGGUGAGAGGAUGGAGGGCAGCCAGAGCAGAAGGAAGUGACAAGAAAUAAGGUUGGGGAAGUGGUUGAGGCAAGUUUGUGAAGGCGUACAAUUCUUUGGUAAAAUUAUACAUUAAUUAAGAGAGGAUACUUCUUCAUUCUCUAAAAGAGGAUUCUGCACUCAUUACCUGAAACCCACAACGAUAUCUCUUACUUAUAAAGACAAAAAAAGCUUCUGGGUUUAUUGCAAAUUUUUUUCUCUUCUCUUUCCUUUAAAAUUAUGAGCACCAAGGUCUCCUCAGUCAGCUUCAGAAAUAAAAGCUUCUAAUGAUCUACAUCUGGGAAAAAAAUAUGCUGGUGUGGAAGAAGGGACCUAGAAGAGACAGAUGCUUAUAGAGAAGCAACAUGGAGCUGGAAAUCAUGACUGUCUAACAUCCCUCGACCCCUCCAGUAGCCCAGUGACAGUGAGCCAGUUGCUUCCACGCUCUUAGGAGGAACAUCCUCCGUGCCAGGCCCUUAGAAGACAACACCAGAAGACUUCUCUCACACGCUCAAGGAUUUCACAAUGUGGAAGGUUACUAACUAUCCCAACAAUUAUAACGCCCUUUGAUCAACACGGUGAGAGACAGAUGCCCAAGGUACCGGUGACAUGAUGGGGGUGGCGCGGCGGGCAGGAAGGCAUUUUAGAAGAUGUGGAGCUGGGCCCCCAAGAGUCUAUGGAAGCUGGCCAGGCGAAGCAGGAGAAAGAGAGUGAUGAAGGGCAUUUCAGAGGGACCGGCACAUACGUACAGUGUGGGACUGUUACGUGCCUCACCCGGCCGAAACGUCAGCUUCUGGAGUACAGGAAUUGCACCCUCACCUAGCACCUAAUCCAAUUCAUUGCUCAUAGUACAAAUGCAAUAAAUAUUGGAUGAGCUGAGAAGGCAAAUUGAUUCCAUAAACAAUGUGGGACUGAAAAGUUAAACUACAGAACAAAAGGAUAAAUUUUCCAUACAUAUCUAAAAUUUACAAAGCAUGAGAGGCCUUCCGGAGAAUUUAUAUAUAUGCAGCUGCCAUUUAAAGACUGAUUUUACAUCUGGCUAGUGCUAAUUUUACUACCCCUUUCUGAUAACAGUACAACAAAAGCUAAUUAUAGCUAUUAUUGCCAGGUAGAGUAUAAACGGAAGAGGGCUGUUCACAGCUGCGAAUUUUAUUUUCAUAAAAUGUCAAGUGCAAUAAAAUGUUAGCCCUGCAAUAUUUUUAAGUAUUAAAAAGUAAAAUCUAGCAAACGAUGCAGGCUCUGACCAUUUCCAAGGUAGAGAAUUUGUGUAACUUGAGUUUAUAACAACUCCAUAGAUACUCACUGGCAUUUUACAACCCAUUUGCACUAACAGAGUCAUUAAAACAGAUGCGGGCCGAAGUGAAUGUAGGCCACUUACCUUCGGCUUCCCAUGCUGGAAAUACAGUAUUUCCUCAACUUUUGUGAACACAUAUGCUGCUGUUGCUGAGACAGUAUUUGAUAUCCUUCCAACCACCAAGAAUACAAAUACACGGACCGAGAUUUUAAAAUAAGCACAUAGAAAACAAUACAAGAAAAAGGGUGUGUGCAUCAAGUCUUAAGAUGCAAAGUCAUGAGCCUUUUAACAAUGCAAAGCUAAAAAUAAAAAUGAAAAAGCUACUAAGAAAAAUAUUUGGGGAACAUGGUGUGCAGGAAACGCAAAAGACCUGAAAUUAGAAAUCUUAGAGAUAACUCCCGAUUCCAGCAUAUGCACCAGAUCUUGGGUAAGGAGUUUCCCCUUUACUCAGCUGAACUUAUAGGUAAAUUGGAGACACUCCCACCUAUGUCACAGGGUUACCCUGAAGAAUAAAGGAGAUUAUUCCUAGCACAGCUAACACAGUGGUCCUAGCUAGUGCCAAAUUUUAGCUGAAUCUGAGUUGGUUACUUGUGGUCUACAUAAAAUACCUAAACAUUUCAUUACGCCAAGUCCGAUUCAUUCAUUCAUUCAUUCAUUCAUUCAUUCAUUCAUUCAUUCAAUCUUUUCUUUAAAAUUCAACUGGAAUUUAUUGUGCAUUUACUAGUGCCCUGUGCUGAGGGCCUUAACACAUCACCUUUAAGACUUCCAGCAACCCCAUGAUGUAAGUGGCAUCUAUUUCCAUCCGAAGGUAAGGACACUGAGGCCCAGAUGAAAAGUUGUUGUUUUUGCUGUGUAUCUGCAGCCGCAAAAUGAAAAUAUUUCUGGUCAAGUUCUCCAUUCCUUAAAUAGGAAUAUGAAUCAGCUGCUAAUUCUUUGCAGAGUCGGCCAAAACAUAGUCAGUGCAGCUUCAGUCGGUUCAUAUGACACAGCUUCCUUAUUUCAAUCACUCCUUUAUUAAACAAGCAUUUACUUCACGGGUCUCAUGAAGAAUUUAUUGUGUAGAAGACACAAAACAAACAAAGGUACAGAGGAUCAGAGGAAACAUACGCAGUAGAGAGUAACAAACACAAUGAAAUAGAUUAGUCUGGUGGCACAGAAAUUCCACAGAAUUCCACAGAAAUGGAAGUAAGGAGAAGGGUAGGAGGCCACGGCCACUAGGUACUAGGUACCUAGGUACUAGGUACUACUUCAUACUAAGGUAUGAGGCAGGAACUGUCAGCCUGGGAUCGUGGCAGUGAGCAACAGAAGCAAGAUGCACACAGACUAUCUCUGAGACUACGUGUAGAGGAUAAAUGAGAUGAAUGAGUCAAGGAUGACUGAGGUCAAUCAGCUAAGGAACUGAGGGGAGAGUGAUAGUGUCCUGGAUAGAUAUGUGACAUUUCAGGGAGGCAAGAAGGAAAUCCAUUGGAUCACACUGACAUUAAAGCAACACUGAAAAUGCUCAGGAGAGGCCACUGGUGCAAAAUGGAAGCCACGUCACUGAGGCUGGGGGGCUAGGUCAAGGCGGAAGACACAGAUUUGCGCCUCAUCAGCAUGGAGGUCAUCAAAACCAUGCAACAAGGUGAGCUCUCUGGGAGGAAGCACGUAGGAGCAAAUCAGCAGAAGUUCAAGGACUGACAUCGAACAUCAAGAGAGGGAGAGAGAAGAAAGGCCAAAUUUUGAUCAAUUUUUGGCAUGUAAUGGAAUAUACUAAUAUUAUAUUAGAUUUCAGAUUAUUUUAGAUUGUAUUAGACAAUAAAGGACUACAUUUUAUUUUUGUUUUUCUGUCCCAAUAAAGGUUAAGUGUCAACAAAGGAAGAGGCAUGUGCACUGCACUUUAAAUUCUGUCCAUUUUGAGAAGCUUCCUAUUCAGGGAAAGGAAAUGGCUCAAAAUGAAGUCUCUUAGACCGAACAAGAAGAUUAACGAUCCAUUUCCAUUUCCAACAAUGUGUAAGAUCUGCUUCCAUCAGCGAGACCCUGGAAGUGACACGAAAAUCUCAAAACUUGUUUUUUGCCUGCAGUGACCACAAUGUCCAAGUUCAUUCACCGUUUUCCUCAGUCAGCCUACUUUUGGCGGGACAUUGAGUAUACAGCGGUGGAUUAGAUAGACACAUUCUCUGUUCCCAUAGACUGCAGAGCCGAAAUCCUGACAAUUUGCAUCCUUCCUUCUUGCUUCCAAUCCAAAGUAAACAGGAUUGGACCUCAGUGACAUUUAAUGAGUUCUACUUGCUUUUCGCAUUGUCCUUUGGCUACGAACAUCUUACAGAUGAAGGCUGAGUGUUUGCUAACCAGCCGAUGGAGGUCUUCUUUCAGAUGGACUAUUUUAGACGUGACUGUUAUGCGUGCCCGAGUGGUCACACAUUUUAACCUCAGUAGUCGAGUGGCCCUCUCCAGCGGGCUCUGUCUGCUGUCUACACAGUGAAGGUUUUGGCCUUCACAGGCCCCCUAGUCUUUUACAAACUCCAGCCAGAGGAAUGAGAACAUGGGAAGAAGGGGCCUCUGUCAUCUCAUCUCCCUCCUCACUGUCCUUUCCUCUUUAAAUCCGCAGAAAUGAAGGGUAAAUGGAAGAUGAACAAAAAAUAUGUAUUUUUUUUUUUUAAUUAAGAAUUUUAAAAAAGCCCCUGAAUGAAGGAAGCAUGAACUCUCCCAAACUGCUGGUGGGAGCAGAUUUACUGGAGCUACUGAGUUUAUAGAUUUUUCAUUUUGUUAAGUGUUCAGGACAGAAGACGAAGGUUCAGAAUAAGUGGGCCAAUUCGGCCAACCCUAGCAGGUGGCUCUGCUGGGCGCACAGGGUUGUCUUCAUCUCUAAGUCAUUUCCCUGCCUGUGGUAUGAGUCACUGUCAAACACCCACAGGGACCGUGCAGGUAGUUAAACUGGGUGACACGGGCUGAGUAUAAGUGGCAGAAACUGACACGCACUGGAAAACGUACGUCUUGCCCAAAGGUAGUAGCGCUACGAAUGCCAGUUGGAUCGCACGGGAGAAACCAGAAGUCUAGAUUUUUAUGUGAGAUCAUCUAAUUUUUAAAAUAUUGUCAAGGAGUUAAAAAAAAAUUAAAUGUCCUGUCACUAA